rnacentral:rRNA from 1 species
CUUGAAGACGGGGUCUAUACAUGCAGUCGAGCGGACAGAUGGGAGCUUGCUCCCUGAUGUUAGCGGCGGACGGGUGAGUAACACGUGGGUAACCUGCCUGUAAGACUGGGAUAACUCCGGGAAACCGGGGCUAAUACCGGAUGGUUGUCUGAACCGCAUGGUUCAGACAUAAAAGGUGGCUUCGGCUACCACUUACAGAUGGACCCGCGGCGCAUUAGCUAGUUGGUGAGGUAACGGCUCACCAAGGCGACGAUGCGUAGCCGACCUGAGAGGGUGAUCGGCCACACUGGGACUGAGACACGGCCCAGACUCCUACGGGAGGCAGCAGUAGGGAAUCUUCCGCAAUGGACGAAAGUCUGACGGAGCAACGCCGCGUGAGUGAUGAAGGUUUUCGGAUCGUAAAGCUCUGUUGUUAGGGAAGAACAAGUGCCGUUCAAAUAGGGCGGCACCUUGACGGUACCUAACCAGAAAGCCACGGCUAACUACGUGCCAGCAGCCGCGGUAAUACGUAGGUGGCAAGCGUUGUCCGGAAUUAUUGGGCGUAAAGGGCUCGCAGGCGGUUUCUUAAGUCUGAUGUGAAAGCCCCCGGCUCAACCGGGGAGGGUCAUUGGAAACUGGGGAACUUGAGUGCAGAAGAGGAGAGUGGAAUUCCACGUGUAGCGGUGAAAUGCGUAGAGAUGUGGAGGAACACCAGUGGCGAAGGCGACUCUCUGGUCUGUAACUGACGCUGAGGAGCGAAAGCGUGGGGGAGCGAACAGGAUUAGAUACCCUGGUAGUCCACGCCGUAAACGAUGAGUGCUAAGUGUUAGGGGGGUUUCCGCCCCUUAGUGCUGCAGCUAACGCAUUAAGCACUCCGCCUGGGGAGUACGGUCGCAAGACUGAAACUCAAAGGAAUUGACGGGGGCCCGCACAAGCGGUGGAGCAUGUGGUUUAAUUUCGAAGCAACGCGAAGAACCUUACCAGGUCUUGACAUCCUCUGACAAUCCUAGAGAUAGGACGUCCCCUUUCGGGGGCAGAGUGACAGGUGGUUGCAUGGUUGUCGUUCAGCUCGUGUCGUGAGAUGUUGGGUUAAGUUCCCGCAACCGAGCGCCAACCCUUUGAU